rnacentral:lncRNA from 1 species
AAAAAAAAUUAUUUUUUCUUUUUUUUCUUUUUUCUUCAUUCUCUAUCUCUUUCCCAGAUUUGUCGCUCUCUUCUCUAUCUUCAUCUCCUUAUCUCUUCCUCCUUAAUAACUGUGAUUUUUUUUCUAUUCUCCUUUGCUUAAUAAUUAUUUGUUUUCUAAUAUCUUCUUCUUCGUCUCUUUAUCUCUUCACUUUUCUCAAGAAACCCGAUGAAGAAAACGACUUGAGAAGGUUCCGGUUUGAAGGGAGGAGGAGAGGGAGGUCCGGUGUGUUAGAAUGAAGAAGAAAGAAGCAUGGAUGAGUGUGAUCUAUUGCCUGAGAAAUAAAGAAGAUAAAGAGAAGAAGAGAUACUUGAAAUGAGUCUGGUCCAUACAAACUUGCUACACAAGGCAGUCCGUACAGUCUUGGCUUCCAAUUAACUUAGAAUGAUUUUGAAGGCAAGAGAAGAUGGGAACUCGUUCAGUUUGAUCUUCUGAAGUAUAUUUGAAGUUUAAAUAGAGCAUCUGGCCGUUGGAAAAGAUUGUGUUAAUAUAUAGAAAAUUUGAAGUUAAAAGAAUUCCUUUUUCUCAAUUUUUCUAUAUUCCAAUGUAAAUACCUCCUAAAAACUUGCUCAAAUCCCAAUAUUUUUUAAAAAUCCUUAGGAUUUAGUAUAUAUUAAAAUUCUCUCAAAUGCUCAGUUCGAUAAGCCCCUCUUAGGCGACAAGUACUCUCAGGAGAAGAGAAUCAAAAUCUAUUAUUAUCAUUGUUUCUGAAAAAUCGAUAUAUCAUAAAAAAACCGAG